rnacentral:rRNA from 1 species
AGCCGCGGUAAUACGGAGGAUGCGAGCGUUAUCCGGAUUUAUUGGGUUUAAAGGGUGCGUAGGUGGUGAUUUAAGUCAGCGGUGAAAGUUUGUGGCUCAACCAUAAAAUUGCCGUUGAAACUGGGUUACUUGAGUGUGUUUGAGGUAGGCGGAAUGCGUGGUGUAGCGGUGAAAUGCAUAGAUAUCACGCAGAACUCCGAUUGCGAAGGCAGCUUACUAAACCAUAACUGACACUGAAGCACGAAAGCGUGGGGAUCAAACAGGAUUAGAUACCCUGGUAGUCCACGCAGUAAACGAUGAUUACUAGGAGUUUGCGAUACAAUGUAAGCUCUACAGCGAAAGCGUUAAGUAAUCCACCUGGGGAGUACGCCGGCAACGGUGAAACUCAAAGGAAUUGACGGGGGCCCGCACAAGCGGAGGAACAUGUGGUUUAAUUCGAUGAUACGCGAGGAACCUUACCCGGGCUUGAAUUGCAGAGGAAGGAUUUGGAGACAAUGACGCCCUUCGGGGCCUCUGUGAAGGUGCUGCAUGGUUGUCGUCAGCUCGUGCCGUGAGGUGUCGGCUUAAGUGCCAUAACGAGCGCAACCCCUCUCCUUAGUUGCCAUCAGGUUAAGCUGGGCACUCUGGGGACACUGCCACCGUAAGGUGUGAGGAAGGUGGGGAUGACGUCAAAUCAGCACGGCCCUUACGUCCGGGGCUACACACGUGUUACAAUGGGGGGUACAGAGGGCCGCUGUCCGGUGACGGUUGGCCAAUCCCUAAAACCCCUCUCAGUUCGGACUGGAGUCUGCAACCCGACUCCACGAAGCUGGAUUCGCUAGUAAUCGCGCAUCAGCCAUGGCGCGGUGAAUACGUUCCCGGGCCUUGUACACACCGCCCGUCAAGCCAUGGGAGCCGGGGGUACCUGAAGUGCGUAACCGCGAGGAGCGCCCUAGGGUAAAACUGGUGACUGGGGCUAAGUCGUAACAAGGUAGCCGUACCGGAAGGUGCGGCUG